GUUCAAAAUGUCCUAUCUCGUUACCCGUAGUCAGGAAAACUCUCACACUUUACGCGCGCUUCCUAGUCUGUUAUUUCCAGAGCAUUUCAAUUCAUAUCUGUCGACUUCUUGUGUCUGGAGUAGCAUCGUCUUUUCACUUUUUCUCUAACUCCAAUAAACCUGUGGAACCAAAAAUUAAUCUUCAGAGUCUUGGUGUGGGGGAAAAGUUUAGCUGGCCGUCAGGAUAUUAAGCAGUCAUAGCGAGGACGGCACAGACAGCAAUAAAGAUGAUGAUUCAUAUCCAGAGAGCCAGAUCCACCUUCGUUCCUGCUUGUUGUCGGACUACACUGCUAUGUGUCUCUGAGUGAUGACGACUAAAUGCCGGUCAGACAUCACCUUAGUCUACGAUGGACAUCAGGGGAUGAACUGAUGCAAACUCCAAUCAUAAGACAUUGAAUACUUCAUGUAAUACAAUGCCUGCAAUAUACUUCACUGAUCUCUGCCUGCAUCACCUUGAUCUAAUGAUGGACUACACACUUGAAAUGGAAUGCAUAUCAAUUAUUUUCCAACAAAAACUUAAUCGGCCAACUAACAAAGAACAAUUGCAUCUAUGUGAACUUCUGCAGUUAAUCCAGGAUGAACAUCAAAGACAUUCGUCAUUAAUCUUACAGUUCAUACAAAAUCUUUGUUUAAACACUGGCCCUUAGUUUAAUAAUUUUAAACCAUGACUUGCAUUGCACACAUCAAAUAACUAAUAUUGGCAAUUAUAUUCAUGCUGGUUAGCCAGAAGGUAACUGGCCCUCACAGUGAGUCUGGUUUGUCCCAAGGUCAUUUUUCUCCAUUAAAGAACAUCUUUUAGAUUUUUGCGUUCCUUGCCACAGUCACCUUGCUCACUGGGGUUCUAAACACAAUUGUGAUUUAUUAAUUUAAUGUUUUAUUUUUAUACACAAUGUACAAUCAUAUUUAAUCAAAUUACACAAUGAUGACUAAGACUUUAAAGAUUUGACAGUUUUCACUUUCUGUUAAUGCAUGAUUUUCUGUAAAGCUGCUUUGAAAUGGUGUGUAUUGUGAA